CUUGAGGACUUAGGUAGUAAAAGCCUUCUGAACCCCGUCAGGACCGGAAGGUAGCAGCGGUAAGAAAGGUUUUUUCGCGCUUAAAUAACUUCAAGGGA
rnacentral:SRP_RNA from 1 species